rnacentral:rRNA from 1 species
UACGUAGGUGGCAAGCGUUGUCCGGAUUUACUGGGCGUAAAGAGCGCGCAGGCGGUCGUUCAAGUCGCGUGUGAAAGCCCCCGGCUCAACUGGGGAGGGUCACGCGAUACUGCUCGACUCGAAGGCAGGAGAGGGAAGUGGAAUUCCCGGUGUAGUGGUGAAAUGCGUAGAUAUCGGGAGGAACACCAGUGGCGAAGGCGACUUCCUGGCCUGUUCUUGACGCUGAGGCGCGAAAGCUAGGGGGAGCAAACGGGG